GGUGACUAUAGCAAGGAGGUCACACCUGUUCCCAUGCCGAACACAGAAGUUAAGCUCCUUAGCGUCGAUGGUAGUCGAACUUACGUUCCGCUAGA
rnacentral:rRNA from 1 species